GCGGCGGUGGCGGAACUGGUAGACGCGCUACGUUGAGGUCGUAGUGGCCAAUUGGCCAUGGGAGUUCGAGUCUCCCUCGCCGCACCA
rnacentral:tRNA from 1 species